AUAGGGGUGGAUAUUCUCCUCUGAAGAACAAAGCGUGUACAAGUGCAGGGACACGUAGGCACGUGACCUUGACGUGGUGUUAACUGUUAAACGCGGCGAGGAGAUUUAAAGCCACGGGUCUCUGUCUAAACAUCAUACAUACACACAUAUACAAAAACGCCAGAAUUAAAACUGUGGAGAACCGCUCGAGAAAUUACAAUUGUGUACAAUAUUUGAGAGAGAGCUUGCAACCUCUGAAUCAUACACCGGAUAUUGUUUCGAAUGAAGAAUGCUUUUAAGAAGCAUCCUAACAACAAUUGUUCAAUAAAUGGUGUAACGUGGCUUUUACCACCUUACAAUAAUUUACGUCAACUUCGCUCCACAGUACAUCAUGUACCCUCACCAUACCACCAUACGUACUUAACUUCACCGCAUUGACUACGCACACAACUUACCUCACUACGAUGAUGAAAGCUGCUAGACCAUACGUACUAACGCACCAUACGCAUACAACUUACUUCGCUACGGUGACGAAAGCUGCGCUAUGCUGCUAUAAAAGCAAGCACUUUACACCAAAUUCGAUCAUUUGCUCCAGCUCGGCGAACAGGACGGUCGCCCAGCAUCGCGCAGAAAAUAGCAGUAAGCAGGGGUUGAUACCGGUACGCGCAAAGGCUCGACCGUUACUACGAGGAGCACAGCUGCGCUGCCUCGAACAGCGUCAGUACCGUACUUACGUACCGGAAGGCACCGUUAGUGAAAACUAACGCGACUAACAGGCGACAUGUAAGUGCAGUACUGUGGGAGUUGAUAGCUGGAGGCCAACGAAGACGGUUGGCUAUUAACGAAAUCUCUCCUAUACAGAGGAGCCCGUCGUAUACAUCACCGUGCCAGUCGCAACAAGCGUCAACGCCUGGCUCAUCAAUUCCGUUCGUUUUCAUCACCGUGCCAGCUUCAACAAGCGUCAACGCCUGGUUCGCCAAUCUCGUUCGUUUUCAUCACCACUGUACACAUCAGGCUGGUCUGGCUGUCCACAUAAGGGGUGGGGUGUGGAUACAACUAUACGAGGAUAAAGCUAGUCUUUUUUGCUAAGGGUUCGUGGGUCCCAAGGCUGACCCUGGAGCGGCUGAGCAUACCUCAGCUAUGGACGAAAACCCAUUACAAUGGGAAAAUCAAUUCAAAAUGCAUACAAUAUUUUAGUGUCGUUAUCGAUAAUACCAACCAUAUUUUAGUGGAAUCUACGUCAAAGAAUUUAUAUUAUUACAUUGUCUAAUAUCAAUAUUCAACGGAUGUCUUGAAAUAAAUAUUUUUUAAUCCCUUAAAUAGCAUUUUUCCGAUGUGCAAUUUUAAGUGUUUCAUUGGAAAGAUUCAAAUCUCUUCUUUGAGAAUGAUUUUUGAUCAUAAUUUCGACUUUCUGAACCACUCUGAAGAGUCAAUUUAAAAUAAACGAUGUUAUUUUGGAAAAA